rnacentral:rRNA from 1 species
UACGUAGGGGGCAAGCGUUGUCCGGAAUUAUUGGGCGUAAAGAGCGUGUAGGCGGUCCGGUAAGUCAGCUGUGAAAGUCAAGGGCUCAACCCUUGAAAGCCGGUUGAUACUGUCGGGCUAGAGUCCGGAAGAGGCGAGUGGAAUUCCCGGUGUAGCGGUGAAAUGCGUAGAUAUCUGGAGGAACACCGGUGGCGAAGGCGGCAUCCUGGACCGGUAUUGACGCUGAGGCGCGAAAGCCAGGGGAGCAAACGGG